rnacentral:rRNA from 1 species
GACGAACGCUGGCGGCGUGCCUAACACAUGCAAGUAGAACGCAGUUGCGAACGGGUGAGUAACGCGUUGGUAACUGCCUCAUACUGGGGGAUAACUUUUGGAAACGAUAGCUAAUACCGCAUACUGUGAGAUGGACUUGCGUUGUAUUAGCUAGUUGGUGGGGUAAGGGCUCACCAAGGCGACGACAGCUAGCCGACCUGAGAGGGUGUUCGGCGACACUGGGAACGAGGAACGGCCCAGACUCCUACGGGAUGCAGCAGUAGGGAAACUUGGGCAAUGGACGGAAGUCUGAGCGAGCAACGCCGCGGGAGUGAAGAGGGUGUUCGGAUCGUAAAGCUCUGUUGUUUGGGAAGCGGUAACUGACCAGGAAGGGACGGCUAACUCCGUGCCAGCAGCCGCGGUAAUAC